CCAAAGGCUCUUUUCAGAGCCACCCACAAGAUCCUAAGAGAGCUG
rfam:Ficedula albicollis isolate OC2 chromosome 1A, whole genome shotgun sequence.